rnacentral:ncRNA from 1 species
UGCCGCCGGGCGUAAAAACGGAAACACAAGGGACGCAACCCCGUACAAAGCAUA